GCCCGGGCAGGCUGGAGCCACGCGACCGAGGGGGCGCAGGGGAGGGACCUACGGACUCAGCCCCCGCCCGUCCGUGCGGAGGGAGGGCCGGAGGCAGACGGGGCGGUCCUGCUCCCCCGACGGACGGCGCGGGGGCGGGGAGAUCAGUCACCGGGACGUGCUCCGGGACUGGAGGGAGGGACGAGCGCGGGAGGGGAAGGAAGUGUGCAGGAGGCUCUCCCGGCUGCCAGAGCUCUCCCAGGCGUGCGGGGGGCGUCAGGCCCAGGCUCUGAGACCCCCCGGGAUUCAGCCCCAGGGCGAGGGAUCAGGAGGGCAGAGGGACUCGGAGACACAGCAUGACCCCAGCUCCCGCCAGAUGCAAAGUAGUUUGACUCUGGAUCGUCGACACGCACGACUCCGCAAACGCCUGGAGGCGAGCUUCCACAGCGGACACAG